GACGGAGCAACGCCGCGUGAGUGAUGAAGGUUUUCGGAUCGUAAAGCUCUGUUGUUAGGGAAGAACAAGUGCAAGAGUAACUGCUUGCACCUUGACGGUACCUAACCAGAAAGCCACGGCUAACUACUGCCAGCAGCCGCGGUAAUACGUAGGUGGCAAGCGUUGUCCGGAAUUAUUGGGCGUAAAGGGCUCGCAGGCGGUUUCUUAAGUCUGAUGUGAAAGCCCCCGGCUCAACCGGGGAGGGUCAUUGGAAAUGGGAAACUUGAGUGCAGAAGAGGAGAGUGGAAUUCCACGUGUAGCGGUGAAAUGCGUAGAGAUGUGGAGGAACACCAGUGGCGAAGGCGACUCUCUGGUCUGUAACUGACGCUGAGGAGCGAAAGCUGGGGAGCGAACAGGAUUAGAUACCCUGGUAGUCCACGCCGUAAACGAUGAGUGCUAAGUGUUAGGGGGUUUCCGCCCCUUAGUGCUGCAGCUAACGCAUUAAGCACUCCGCCUGGGGAGUACGGUCCAAGACUGAAACUCAAAGGAAUUGACGGGGGCCCGCACAAGCGGUGGAGCAUGUGGUUUAAUUCGAAGCAACGCGAAGAACCUUACCAGGUCUUGACAUCCUCUGACAACCCUAGAGAUAGGGCUUUCCUUCGGGGACAGAGUGACAGGUGGUGCAUGGUUGUCGUCAGCUCGUGUCGUGAGAUGUUGGGUUAAGUCCCGCAACGAGCGCAACCCUUGAUCUUAGUUGCCAGCAUUCAGUUGGGCACUCUAAGGGACUGCCGGUGACAAACCGGAGGAAGGUGGGGAUGACGUCAAAUCAUCAUGCCCCUUAUGACCUGGGCUACACACGUGCUACAAUGGACAGAACAAAGGGCUGCGAGACCGCAAGGUUUAGCCAAUCCACAAAUCUGUUCUCAGUUCGGAUCGCAGUCUGCAACU
rnacentral:rRNA from 1 species